AGGUUAAUAAUUAAUUUAUAAUACCUAUUUUGCAUAUAGGAAUUGCCAUAAAAGCUUAAUCUA
rnacentral:tRNA from 1 species